UACUUUCUCUCAUGGGCAUAUAUUAAUUAAGAAAUUAAACACAACUUGUGAGUUUUUGCCUGCUCCUUCCUAUGCGCUCACAAGGAAUAAUUCUGGUAGAAUUCAAAAAGUAAUUAAACCAAAACCAUACGUUGAAACAACCCAUUCUUCUUGGUAUACAAAUUUCGUAGGUGUGUGAGUAAUUUCUUCAGCACUUUGCAGUUUUACGAUACAAUAAGCACACUACCGUAAACGUAUAAAGAGACAAGAAAAUUUUUCAAAUAAUAAAACACCAUACUAAUGAUCAAUUCUUCGUUGAAACAACUUUCUAAGAGCUCAUGAAACAGGCUGUACCUGAGCCAUUUU